GGUUGGUAAAGCUCACGUGUUGGAGGCGUGAGGCGCGAAAUAACAUCGGCCCUCAUGGGUUCGAUUCCCAUACCAACCACCA
rnacentral:tRNA from 1 species